GGACUUUUAAGCAUGUAAGAAAUACUCACAUGUCAUAUAGCAUGUUAGGAUAUAUUUCAGUAUACAACAUUAAUAAUAUUAACGGGUUAAAAACAUGCGAAAUCUGAACAACUUCAAUAUAUUGAAAUUAAUUCUUGCACAAUCAUGACAUAAAACUAAUACAAAAAUAAAAUAAAAUUAAGUGUUACCUCUUGUGAAAAUUAUUUCACGAGAAGGGUUUAGGAACCACGAA
rnacentral:lncRNA from 1 species